GGGUUGUGAGGUUAAGCGACUAAGCGUACACGGUGGAUGCCCUGGCAGUCAGAGGCGAUGAAGGACGUGCUAAUCUGCGAUAAGCGCCGGUAAGGUGAUAUGAACCGUUAUAACCGGCGAUUUCCGAAUGGGGAAACCCAGUGUGACUCGUCACACUAUCAUUAACUGAAUCCAUAGGUUAAUGAGGCGAACCGGGGGAACUGAAACAUCUAAGUACCCCGAGGAAAAGAAAUCAACCGAGAUUCCCCCAGUAGCGGCGAGCGAACGGGGAGGAGCCCAGAGCCUGAAUCAGCAUGUGUGUUAGUGGAAGCGUCUGGAAAGGCGCGCGAUACAGGGUGACAGCCCCGUACACAAAAGCGCAUGUGCUGUGAGCUCGAUGAGUAGGGCGGGACACGUGGUAUCCUGUCUGAAUAUGGGGGGACCAUCCUCCAAGGCUAAAUACUCCUGACUGACCGAUAGUGAACCAGUACCGUGAGGGAAAGGCGAAAAGAACCCCGGCGAGGGGAGUGAAAAAGAACCUGAAACCGUGUACGUACAAGCAGUGGGAGCACCCUUUGGGGUGUGACUGCGUACCUUUUGUAUAAUGGGUCAGCGACUUAUAUUCUGUAGCAAGGUUAACCGAAUAGGGGAGCCGGAGGGAAAC
rnacentral:rRNA from 1 species